rnacentral:misc_RNA from 1 species
GAUGAAGAACGUAGCGAAAUGCGAGAAGUAGUGUGAAUUGCAGAAUUCAGUGAAUCAUCGAAUCUUUGAACGCACAUUGCGCCCCUUGGUAUUCCAUGGGGCAUGCCUGUUCGAGCGUCAUUUGUACCCUCAAGCUAUGCUUGGUGUUGGGUGUUUGUCCUCUCCUUUGCGAUUGGACUCGCCUUAAAGACAUUGGCAGCCAGUGUAUUGGUCUUGAAGCGCAGCACAUUUUGCGAUUCUUGCUGAUAAUCACUAGCGUCCAGUAAGCCUAUUUUAACACUUUUGACCUCGGAUCAGGUAGGGAUACCCGCUGAACUUAAGCAUAUCAAUAAGCGGAGGA